CCUACGGGGCGCAGCAGUGAGGAAUAUUGGUCAAUGGACGAGAGUCUGAACCAGCCAAGUAGCGUGAAGGAUGACUGCCCUAUGGGUUGUAAACUUCUUUUAUAUGGGAAUAAAAUGUUCCACGUGUGGGAUUUUGUAUGUACCAUAUGAAUAAGGAUCGGCUAACUCCGUGCCAGCAGCCGCGGUAAUACGGAGGAUCCGAGCGUUAUCCGGAUUUAUUGGGUUUAAAGGGAGCGUAGGUGGAUUGUUAAGUCAGUUGUGAAAGUUUGCGGCUCAACCGGAAAAUUGCAGUUGAAACUGGCAGUCUUGAGUACAGUAGAGGUGGGCGGAAUUCGUGGUGUAGCGGUGAAAUGCUUAGAUAUCACGAAGAACUCCGAUUGCGAAGGCAGUUCACUGGACUGCAACUGACACUGAGGCUCGAAAGUGUGGGUAUCAAACAGGAUUAGAUACCCCUGUAGUC
rnacentral:rRNA from 1 species